rnacentral:rRNA from 1 species
UACGUAGGGUGCAAGCGUUGUCCGGAAUUAUUGGGCGUAAAGAGCUCGUAGGCGGUCUGUUGCGUCGGCUGUGAAAACCCGAGGCUCAACCUCGGGCCUGCAGCCGAUACGGGCAGACUAGAGUUCGGCAGGGGAGACUGGAAUUCCUGGUGUAGCGGUGAAAUGCGCAGAUAUCAGGAGGAACACCGGUGGCGAAGGCGGGUCUCUGGG